GAUGAACGCUAGCGGCAGGCCUAAUACAUGCAAGUCGGACGGGAUUCAGGAGCUUGCUUCUGGUGCGAGUGGCGCACGGGUGCGUAACACAUGUGUAACCUACGUUUAUCACUUGGAUAUCCUCUCGAAAGAGUGAGUAAGCCCGCAUAUAAUCACACCACAUCCUUGUGUAGUGAUCAAAUGUUUAUACGGUAGAGAUUGGCAUGCGGGACAUUAGCUAGAUGGCGGGGUAACGGCCCACCCGGGAGAUGAUGUUUAGGGCAUCGGAGAGGAUGGCCCCCGAGAGGGGGACUGGGACAAGGAGCAGAGUGAUACGGGAGGGAGCAGUAAGGGAGAUAGGAGAGUGGGAGGAAGCCUGAUCCGGCGAUGCCGCGUGCAGGAAGGCGGCGUUAGGGGUUGUAAACUGCUUUUAGAAGGGAAUAAACGCAGAUAAGGGUAUCUGGCUGAAGGUACUGGAAGAAUAAGGACCGGCUAACUACGUG
rnacentral:rRNA from 1 species